rnacentral:tRNA from 1 species
GACCGCGUAGCUCAGUUGGCAGAGCAUUGGGCUGGUGUUACAAAGGUCGUAGGUUCGAUUCCCACCGUGGUCA